rnacentral:lncRNA from 1 species
UUUGUGUCAGUAUCUUUCAGAUUUUAGCUCCAGGAUUACUGGAGUGUCUUUUCCAUUCAUAUUAUCCAUCUAAUCAACUCAUUGUUGUUGUUGCUACCUAAAAAGGAAAGGUGAGUGGAGAGGCACAUUUUAAGGGUAAUGACUUACUAGCCUUUGAGAUGAAACCUUGGACUCUCUUCUGGGCAGAAUAAUUGAUCACUUCAAACUGAUUCUCAGUGUCCCGAAGAUGAGACCUGGCCUGGAAGGCUGUCUGGAUGGGGAACAGAACCAUUUUUGCAACAAAAUUUGGAAGAUGAGAACCUGAUGGAAACUGCAGUGCUGAUGCUACUGGGAUCACACACAGAUGCAUUCCCUUCGAGUGUGACUGUCCUGCAAAUCAGAGUGCUCAUUUUUAAUUAAAGUGCAAAAAAGAAACACUGGGAAUGAUGUUAAAUUGUUUUGAUUUGACCUAUCCUGGAUUCAUGGUUACGCCUCUUAGUUAGCAAUUUGUUACUGCAUUUAUGAAAAAGAAAGAAUUCAGGAGCUAAAACCAGAAUUUGGAACAGUUGUUUUGAUUCUGAAUAGCUGCUCUGUUUAAUCAUCCACCUCUUAUUGUCAG